rnacentral:rRNA from 1 species
CAGUAGGGAAUCUUCCACAAUGGACGAAAGCCUGAUGGAGCAACGCCGCGUGUGUGAUGAAGGGUUUCGGCUCGUAAAACACUGUUGUAAGAGAAGAAUGACAUUGAGAGUAACUGUUCAAUGUGUGACGGUAUCUUACCAGAAAGGAACGGCUAAAUACGUGCCAG